AGAAUGGGACUGUGCUGGAGGCACGGGGGCCUUGGGGUGGGAGAUGCCGAUAGUGGAGGUGGGCUGGGUGUCUGGCCCAGCACUGUCUGGAGGACUGAGUUGAUCUGGGAAGAGACUGAGGAGGGGCUGACAGCGGGAGCUGCUGGUGGGGGCUGAUGGAACGCUUGGCCUUGAGGGGGUUGUCGUCUCGGGCAGACAGCUUCAGCGGCAGCAUCUGUUUCAUAUCCACCGAGGCUGAGAGGAGGGAGGGAGGGAGGGAGGGAGGAUAAAAAGAAAAAAGGGAGACAAACAUAGACAGAGGGUGAUUUAAUUGUAAAACUAGAUUGCACUGGUAAACUAGAACAGCCUAGCCUAUCUUGCCCGCUUUUUGUUAAAUCAGAGGGCUGACUCAAUUUAGACAGCUAAUGUGAUCCUAAUGAACCACGUAAAUCAUGCUCAUCAGGUCAAGCUCAGGCACAGAUGGCUUGUUUAUUGAUAGAAAAGCGAGUGAGAAGAAUCAACCUUAAAACUGAAAAAACUGCACUGUUAUACACCGCCUGAAAGUCGUAAAGACAUUUUUUUAAAAGAGUGAACUGAAUUUGCCCUCUGGGGAUCAAUAACGGUUGGGCUAGGCGAUAUAGAGAAAAUCAAAUAUCAUAGUAUCUUUGACUAAAUACCUCGAUAUUGAUAGUGCAACGAUAUUGUAGUGUUGACUAAUGGUGCUUUCACAAAACAUUUACACAAUGAGAUUUUUGAUAAAUAAUCAUCAGUUUUGUGGAUAUAAUGACUAAGAGGGUAAAGGCAAAUAGUA